CACGGGGGGAGCAAGCGUUGUUCGGAAUCACUGGGCGUAAAGGGCGUGUAGGCGGUCAGGUAAGUGGGAUGUGAAAUCCCUCGGCUCACCCGAGGACCGGCAUCUCAUACUGCUUGGCUUGAGUACGGGAGAGGAUGUGGGAAUUCCUGGUGUAGCGGUGAAAUGCGUAGAUAUCAGGAGGAACACCUGCGGCGAAGGCGGGUAGCUGGGCCGACACUGACGCUGAGGCGCGAAAGCCAGGGGAGCGAACGGG
rnacentral:rRNA from 1 species